rnacentral:rRNA from 1 species
AAUAGAUACCCGGGUAGUCCACGCCGUAAACGAUGAGUGCUAAGUGUUGGGGGGUUUCCGCCCCUCAGUGCUGCAGCUAACGCAUUAAGCACUCCGCCUGGGGAGUACGGUCGCAAGACUGAAACUCAAGGGAAUUGACGGGGGCCCGCACAAGCGGUGGAGCAUGUGGUUUAAUUCGAAGCAACGCGAAGAACCUUACCAGGUCUUGACAUCCCGGUGACCACUAUGGAGACAUAGUUUCCCCUUCGGGGGCAACGGUGACAGGUGGUGCAUGGUUGUCGUCAGCUCGUGUCGUGAGAUGUUGGGUUAAGUCCCGCAACGAGCGCAACCCUUAUUCUUAGUUGCCAUCAUUUAGUUGGGCACUCUAAGGAGACUGCCGGUGAUAAACCGGAGGAAGGUGGGGAUGACGUCAAAUCAUCAUGCCCCUUAUGACCUGGGCUACACACGUGCUACAAUGGACGGUACAAACGGUUGCCAACCCGCGAGGGGGAGCUAAUCCGAUAAAACCGUUCUCAGUUCGGAUUGUAGGCUGCAACUCGCCUACAUGAAGCC